rnacentral:rRNA from 1 species
UACGUAGGGGGCUAGCGUUGUCCGGAAUCAUUGGGCGUAAAGCGCGUGUAGGCGGCCCGGUAAGUCCGCUGUGAAAGUCGGGGGCUCAACCCUCGGAUGCCGGUGGAUACUGUCGGGCUCGAGUACGGAAGAGGCGAGUGGAAUUCCUGGUGUAGCGGUGAAAUGCGCAGAGUAUCAAGGAGGAACACCAAUGGCGAAGGCAGAUCUCUGGGCCGUAACUGACGCUGAGGAGCGAAAGCAUGGGAGCGAACAGG